UACGGAGGGGGCUAGCGUUGUUCGGAAUUACUGGGCGUAAAGCGCGCGUAGGCGGCUUUGUAAGUUAGAGGUGAAAGCCCGGAGCUUAACUCCGGAACUGCCUUUAAGACUGCAUCGCUAGAAUUGUGGAGAGGUGAGUGGAAUUCCGAGUGUAGAGGUGAAAUUCGUAGAUAUUCGGAAGAACACCAGUGGCGAAGGCGACUCACUGGACACAUAUUGACGCUGAGGUGCGAAAAGCGUGGGGAGCAACAGG
rnacentral:rRNA from 1 species